UACGAAGGGUGCUAGCGUUGUUCGGAAUCACUGGGCGUAAAGCGCGCGUAGGCGGCUUAGCAAGUCAGGGGUGAAAUCCCACAGCUUAACUGUGGAACUGCCUUUGAAACUGCUAAGCUAGAGUGUCGGAGGGGAUGGCGGAAUUCCUAAUGUAGAGGUGAAAUUCGUAGAUAUCAGGAGGAACACCGAUGGCGAAGGCAGGUCUCUGGGCCGAGUACUGACGCUGAGGAGCGAAAGCGUGGGGAGCGAACAGG
rnacentral:rRNA from 1 species